rnacentral:lncRNA from 1 species
CAUCGCGCAUCCUGACAUGAAAAUAAAAAUAAGGAAAAACUUCAAAUACCACCCUUGUGGUUUCAUACUUUUUCACUUUAGUAUCUUAUAGUUUAAAAUAUCUCAAUUUAGUAUUCUGUGGUUCAAAUACCAUCCCGUUAAUAUUUCAGUAAAUUAUAUACAAAAAACUUCAUAUAACCCACCUAGAUAUAUUAAAUAUUCGCUUUAGUCCCCUUUAGUUUUACGUUUAUCACUGAUUUAACAUAAAAAUUAUUGGAGUCAAUAAUAAAAAAAUAAAAAUAAAACCACAGGACACUAACUUAAUACACUUUAAAUCAUAGAAUACUAAAGUGAGAAAGUACGAAACCACAGAGGAGGUGACAUUUGAAGUUUACCCGGAAAAUAAAAAGGGGUGUGGAGAGG